UGACGAGAUUCGAAUGGAGAAAAGGCCGGUUGAUGUUCCUGAAUCUCAAUUUAGGGAUCUUCUUAAUUAUUGGAACUCUGAUGCCUACAAGAAAAUGUCCCAAACCAAUACCGAGAAUCGCAAAAAGUUGAAAUAUCCACACACUGCUGGCAAAAGAAGUUUUGCUCGAAUAUGCGAGG